rnacentral:sRNA from 1 species
ACCGGGACUCAGAUUCUCCCCAGACGCCAAGGUUGCGGGUCAUGGAGUCCCGAACCCUCCUCCUGCUGUUCUCGGGAGCCGUGGCCCUGAUCCAGACCUGGGCAGAUUACAAUUACAAUCAAGGCAGAAAUGAUCUCAUUUUUACAUUACAACUCUGGAAAAGGCAAUAGACUGAGAUGCAAGUGUGCCCCCAAGUGAUGGGCAGAAGGAGAGAAGGUGUUUUGGAUGCAUUCUAGAACACAGGUAAUCUAAGGAGAGUUGAUCAAGGCCGUGGAAGAGUCCUCCAGCCACUAUUGGCCAUCAAAGGAGUCCUCUGUGUCCCAGGAAUGGUCCUGCUUUGGUGUCCCUGGUGUGACCCAUCACCCGCUGGGAACAGCCUGAGAGAAGUAGGGCCUCUGCACCAAUGCUGCUGAGGAUGUCAGAGCACAGGAACGAGGCCUUGGGAAAUUACCUGGAAAUGCGACUGAAAUCUUCCUUCCUGAGGGGUCUGGGCUCUUGGAAAUCAAACCCUCUCAGGUUGGGUGGCUGGACGAUUCUCCUCACACUUACAAUGGGACAAGGGGAACCAGGAGGCCCCCAAGGGGAUCCCUGGGUUCCACACGAACUCCUCCUACCCUCAUUGUGUGACAGCAGCCAUGCCUCCUCCUGGGGAUCAGGAUCUAUUACCUGUGCCUGGAGAGGAGGGGACUCCUCUUCUCACCCGCUGGUCUCUGGACACAUACUGUCCAAUUCCCCUGUGGCAGCUGUAAUGUGUAGUUCAAUGGGCACUCAUUUGUCCCCUUUUAAGGGUACCCUCCUUUAGAAUCCAGGACCUUCUACCCUGCAGAGUGUGGUUUUGGGAGAGAAGUGCAAAAUCCCACGACAGGUGAGUUGAAGGAAUGGGAUAUGGAGCCACAUCCACUUCCACCCCUUGGUAUCUGGACCCACGUGUUCUUCCUACUGAGAUUACAGAACUGUAGAGAUGUCUUUGAUUUUUAAAAUGCACCAUGUCCUGAAAGAUGGCACCCUCCCACCCGCAGAGUGCUUCCUGCAAGCUGGCGUUGAGCUGUGCCUAUAGAAGCUCUUUUCAACAUUCUUUAUGGCCAGCAGCCCUUGGUUGGUGCAGAUGGUGAUAGGACCAGUGGGUCCCACAGCAUGGCCACACUGCACCUCCUUCGCUGUCAAGUGGGUCCCCCACGAAGAUACUGCACGGAGAGCAGUGCCAAGCCUGUGGAUCAGGAAUAUCAACAGCCCCCAGAGAGUGGUGCUGGCUGAGGGUCUGAGAGCAGGACAGGAAAACCCACCUAUGGAAUAGGUGCCUAUCCCUGUGAAGAUGAACCUCUGGCCCUUCCAGGAUGGAAGGAGUGCAAUGUAGUCAACUCCUCACUUAGGGUCUGGUUGGUCACCUAAAGAAAUAGAGCCCUACCAGGGAAGAUCAUUGGGUUCAAAUGCUGAUGAGUAGGACAUUUAGAGGUGGCAGUGUCUGGAUCUACCUUGGUAGGAGGGAGUCAGUACUGUUGGACCCAUAGGUAGCCUCAUCCCUGCCACUGUGUUUGCUCCAUUUAUGUACCCAUCCUACCCGGCCUGGGCUGACCCAUGGGGAAGGCUGGCUAAUUUCAGUGCUUCUGCUUGGUUGUUCAGGGCCAUUUCAGGUUUGGGUGUUUUCUGGGGAUGUUAACAUGGGAUUCAGGCUCAACUCACAAGAAACUUUUCCAUCUCAUGAUGGAUGCUGUUGGGCAUGUCCAAUGUAUGACUUCAUGAGUUACACAGAUGCUAAUUCGUAGGGGCACUUGGAAUCACAUGGUUGUUUUGUGUCCCAUGGUCAAGCAUUCUAUCUUAUCAGGGCCUACAGUAACAUGCCAAAAGUUGCUUCCAACAUAUUUCUCUGCUUUGGAUGGGGCAUAUUUCUGUGCUGUGGAUGACAUGGCCUUACUCCAGAAUCCCAGGCCCUCCACUGUGACUCUCCUACUGGUGCUUGGUUCAGCUCCACCCCAAAUCUUACCCCACCACUGGCACUUUCAGCACCAGGGGGUCUGAAGGAUGGUGACUGCGCCAUGGCCUGGAUCUGCUGCAGUGUCCUUUCCUGUGGAGGCUCCACUCAAAGCUGGCAUCCUCCUAUGUCACCUAGAGUGUGGGUCAAAGCAAUACACCUACAUGUAGAAUGUGAUGUCAGAACUCAAACAGGCUCACCAGGCAGUGUGCUUCCUUCCUUGCAUGAGGAUGCAAGAUGCAACAGUUUGUCUUUCACAUUGGAAGGGACACCCCUGGAUGCCCCUAACCACUAGACCUGUAAAACUUCACUGCAGUGGCCACUUCUGAAUCUCUGUAAGGUUUAUUUAUCUUCACCCUCUGGAGAGAAGAUGUUUUACCAAAGCCUCUAGUGUACCUUCCUCCUCUUACUCAUCCAUCCCAGUCAACAUGAUGUUGUCAAUGAAAUAAAGGAAUUUAAUAUUCUAUAGUAUAUCCAGGUUCUCCAGAUCUCUUAAGACUGUACUAUAGAGGCCUGGGGAAUUAUAAUAGCCCUGAGGCAAACUAUGAAUUAAAGUGUUGUGGAUCCCACAUGAA